rnacentral:ncRNA from 1 species
GAAGAUAGAGGUCGCACAGUUCAUCAGUAACCUGUCGGAUGUGUUCAGACACAGAGGAAGACAGUGGGUCUGCCCAGGCGGAUCCGGUAAGGGAAAGGGAACCGUGCCGAAGGAAGCAGGCAUCUGGAUGCCGGCAUUCCUGGGCAUACGGCGAACAGCCGUAUGACUGUCAUCGGAUCACGAUGGAGCGCUAUC